AAUAUUUGACCAUGGGCGAAAGCCUGAUCCAGCCAUGCUGCGUGUGUGAGGAAGGUCUCCGGAUUGUAAAGCACUCUAAGUUGGGAGGCGGGGGUGGCGAUCGAUACUCUGCAAUUUGGACGAUACCGACAGAAUAAGCACCGGCUAACUUCGCGCCAGCAGCCGCGGUAAUCCGAAGGGUGCAAGCGUUAAUCGGAAUUACUGGGCGUAAAGCGCGAGUAGGUGGUUCGUUAAGUUGGAUGUAAAAGGCCAAGGCCCAAGCUGGGAACUGCAUCCAAAACUGGAGAGCUAGAGUACGGUAGAGGGUAGUGGAAUUGCCUGUGUAGCGGUGAAAUGCGUAGAUAUAAGAAGGAACACCAGUGGCGAAGGCGACCACCUGGACUGAUACUGAAACUGAGGUGCGAAAGCGUAGGGAGCAAACAGG
rnacentral:rRNA from 1 species